rnacentral:rRNA from 1 species
GAUGAACGCUGGCGGCGUGCCUAAUACAUGCAAGUCGAGCGAACAGACGAGGAGCUUGCUCCUCUGACGUUAGCGGCGGACGGGUGAGUAACACGUGGAUAACCUACCUAUAAGACUGGGAUAACUUCGGGAAACCGGAGCUAAUACCGGAUAAUAUAUUGAACCUCAUGGUUCUGUAGUGAAAGACGGUUUUGCUGUCACUUAUUGAUGGAUCCGCGCCGCAUUAGCUAGUUGGUAAGGUAACGGCUUACCAAGGCAACGAUGCGUAGCCGACCUGAGAGGGUGAUCGGCCACACUGGAACUGAGACACGGUCCAGACUCCUACGGGAGGCAGCAGUAGGGAAUCUUCCGCAAUGGGCGAAAGCCUGACGGAGCAACGCCGCGUGAGUGAUGAAGGUCUUCGGAUCGUAAAACUCUGUUAUUAGGGAAGAACAAAUGUGUAAGUAACUAUGCACGUCUUGACGGUACCUAAUCAGAAAGCCACGGCUAACUACGUG